AGAAAGAGGAUAAGGCUUCCUCUUGGACGAGAGCAGCCACACAAUUCGUCUCUCACUCCUCUCCUUUUUUCUUUUUUGGCAAGGCUCUCUUCUUCCCCUUUCAACAAAGAUUCAAAGUGGGGUUUCACCCUCUCUGCCUUAUGAAACCUCAAACAAGCAUACCCACCAUCUAGGUGCGAUUUGCUCGUUUUGAGAUCAAGACCUUAUCUCUGAUUCUCUUCCUUCUCCACCAACAGCUUUGAAUUGGUGUCACCUCCCAAAACCAUUUGUUCUGGAUCCAUCGAUGAUCAAGUCCUCUCUUCAUGCUCUUCCCCUUCAAUUUCCCUGUUCUUGGUUUGAAGAGAUUUUUUUCGAAUCGGACCGGCGGUCUAUUGAGAUCAAGGAGGCUUUGGUGGUCUAUUAGUGGUGGAGUGGCGUAUCUGGAUUUGUUGUAUCAUUCUCCGAUGCCGACGGUUGUUUGGAUAUACUUGGUGGUGCAUGCAGAUGUUAGUAAAGAUCUGCAGAUCUGUAAAACCUUACUUGUGGGUCGAAAGCAAAUCUGUCCAAGUCCUGCACGGGCUCUUCGUCUUCCACUGGGCUACUAAAGCUAAAUUGGGACAGGGUUAUGUCUCUAUUCAUGGCCUAUAUUUGACUCAAUAGUGGUACUAAGUGUUCGAGUCAGUAAUAAUGAUGGCACCAUGUCUAGGCAUUUCAAACACUAGAGCUGGAAAUUUUGGGAUUCACUUGCAAUACUUGCAUAUUUUGUGAAACUCUUCGUCUGCUACACUCAGGUUCUACACUUCAUCCCCCAAGUUCCCUGAUGCCUUCUCUCUAGACGAUUGUGUUCCUCCCAUAUUUCUCAAUUAUGACAUCUCUACCUUCAGUGGCUGUCAGUGGCAAUAUCAAGUCUGACCAAGAAUUCUAAAGCCACUCCACAAAUUUUAUUCUUCCAAAAAGGGUGGGAUUGCAACAUUCUCAGAAAAGUUACGAGAUUGACAGAAACCAUAGAAAACUUGCUGGAGGUAAGCAGAGAUGCAGCCAUGGAGAGUAACAUGAAGAUAUUUAAGUGUUUUGAUGUUGUAUUUUAUUUGAAAUUGUAUAUGAAUUGUACGAUACAUUUUUGAGAUAUGUGGUUGUAGCUAGAUCAAAUUGUUAUUUUUUAUAUAUAUACUCCCAAUUUUGCCACUGAUAUUGGUGGCAUUGAUAAUACACUAAUUCAGUAACAGUGGGAAAGAAAAAUGUAUCUUGCUGCAUUGGGUUUUGGGAUGCCACGGAUGUUUUAUCAGUAUGGAUUGUCCCAAUAGCACCUGCAAUAGAGGGGACUGUUAGCUCAUUAGUGGCUGCAUA